UCGAUGUGCAGUGGCCUGAUUAGCUACAAGAAGCUCUUGUUCCAUGGACUCGAUCUCUGGACCGCACUAUCGUUGCCUCAGCCCCUAGGUCGUGCUGCCCUCUGGCCUCCUCAUCGUACAAUUCACCAACAUCUCCAAUGUAAGUGCAGCAGGUUCAGUAAUGAACUCAGAAGUGGCAUCAGAAUACUCCAAGAGUUUUUUGAUCUUUUUGCCUGGAUAUAUACCAAGGGAAAUGCAUUCAAAACUCCUAUAGAUGACGAAUCCCAUCUCUCCCUCUUUUCUCGGACACGGAUCCCCAGGUCCGUCUCCGUGCUUUACUCAUUUGUUUUUUACAAGUUCAGAUCCACUUGCGUACUCACACGGUGGACAUCUGUUAUGCACAUGUGUAAACCAGCAUAAGUCCUUACACUCGAAAAUGCAUGUGUUAUUUAGCUUGAGAAUAAAUAAAAUUAUUAGCAAGGAGAAAACAAAAAAAUAGGACUAAACAAUAGAGUCACAUUGGUUUAAAUUAGUACCUAGAAGUAAAAAAAGAUGAUCUAAAUUAGAUACAUCAUACCAAAUACCAUAUUACUAUUCCAGUUACCCCGUCUACUAUGCCUAGAUAUCAAAUUCUUGAAGGUUGGCCUUCUCAUUUUCAGUAAUAGCCUGACGAAAGUAGAGUAUGUUUGUAUGAGCAAUUAUGCUGCUCACUACUGCCUUGCGCUAUAAUAGGCCACUACUGAUUUUACAUGCUUUUUCUACAUUAGAUAGCUCACAAACAUGCUACCUCAAAAAAAUGAUGGCAAAGGGGAGCCACAAAAUGUCAAUUAUUUUGUCAAGUAUUAGCAGUUUUCUUGUGUAUGUGAUCAGACUAACACUGCAUGUCUUUGUUUUCCUGUAAAACUAUGUAUGAUGAAACCAUGGUGUGAUUGUAUUGGCUGGCCUUACCCUGUUUUGUUGCAAUGCAUUCGUUGUUGUACAGGUAAUAUGUUGAAACACAAUUCAUUGCAUAUGACAAUUCUGUUUUUUCUUUCUAGAAUAUUGACAUAUUGUUUGAUCAUUAUUUUCUAAGCAAUAAUCAUGGCUAUUCUUAUAGUAUUGCAUAAUACCUUUUUCUUUUCGAACCCUAGCGCAUUGAUUCUUUAGUGAAGUGAUUAUAGUGAUUCCAGCGGGAGAGUAGGGUGGGGAGCAGAGGGUUGAUUCUGGACUGAUUUCGGUGGAGAUUAAAUGGGGAGCAGUGAGGAGCAUGUUUUUUUAGAUCCCACCAGAAUAUGUGCGCCAUUUUGCUAUUUGGCUGAGGAGUGAUGCUCAGGGAGAAUCCGUUCUCAGGAGCUGUGCCAAAUGUCGCCUUAGGUUUUAUGAUAUGACCUGACUUCUGUGUUAAUAUUUGUUAGAUCUUUAUUUUAUUUGAGGUUACAAAGGUGGUGUUCUCAAGCUAGAAACAAAGUUGUGGCUAGGUCAAAACUAGAUGAUGCUCUUGAACCGUGUCUUUUGACUCUGUUACUUGUUGCAGGUUUGAUGUUCACUAAUAUGUUGUUCAACUUUGAGCAGGUCAGCAAUUGACUGGUGUUGCUGGUAGCCUGGCAUAUCUGGCACCUGAGGUUCUACUAGGAAAUUACUCCCAAAAGGUAGAUGUAUGGGCUGCCGGGGUGCUUCUGCAUGUUCUGUUGAUGGGCACUCUUCCGUUCCAAGGAAAAUCUAUCGAAGCUAUCUUUGAUGUUAUAAAGACUGCUGAACUUGACUUUCACAAUAGUCAGUGGGCAUCUGUGUCACUUCUUGCUUAUGAUCUCAUUGGUCGAAUGCUUAAUCGAGAGGUCUCUUCAAGGCCCGAUGCCGAAGAUGUUCUCCGGCACCCAUGGGUCUUAUUCUACACUGAUUGCCUGCAGAAAGCUGAAUUCUCUAACCUAUGGGAUACUAACAAAACUGCAGCUCCCAUGAUUCAUCGGGAGAUAGUCAGGUUUGGUUACUGCGAGUCUUCAUCUUCAAAAUCCUCAAGUGACAACUCUGAAGAGCGAGAUGAAUGCGGUAUAGUUGAUGCACUGGCGACAACAAUAACACAGGUGAGGAUCUCAGAGCCCAAGAGGAGUCGGCUGUUCAGCCUACCCAACGGGUUGUUGCCGCCAAGCAGGAACAGUCUCCGAACAUGAAGAUGAUGAAUCCGUGUGUGGCUUUCUAACUUGACCUACCUAGCUCCCAUCCCCAUGCAUGUAUAAACGAGAUAAACGAGCUCUGUGAUUUUAUAGAUGGAAAAUUUUCACCGUG